rnacentral:rRNA from 1 species
CCUACGGGUGGCAGCAGUGAGGAAUAUUGGUCAAUGGGCGCGAGCCUGAACCAGCCAAGUAGCGUGAAGGAUGACGGCCCUAUGGGUUGUAAACUUCUUGUAUAGGGGAAUAAAGUGCAGUAUGUAUACGGCGUUGCAUGUACCUUAUGAAUAAGGAUCGGCUAACUCCGUGCCAGCAGCCGCGGUAAUACGGAGGAUCCGAGCGUUAUCCGGAUUUAUUGGGUUUAAAGGGAGCGUAGGCGGGUUGUUAAGUCAGUGGUGAAAGUUUGCGGCUCAACCGUAAAAUUGCAGUUGAUACUGGCAUCCUUGAGUACAGUAGCGGUCGGCGGCUUUCGUGGUGUCGCGGUGACAUGCUUAGCUCUCACG